ACUAAUAGGGCUGCUUAGCAGGCUACUUUGAUAUAGUAGAUUGUGGAUAAAUUUUCUCGUUAGUA
rnacentral:tRNA from 1 species